GCCCCAUUCACGUGGCGGUCACGGUGACCAGCGAGCGCAGAAUUCCGCUGGACCCGUGAUGGAUGGAGUUCAACGAGAUUCAAAGCCAGAACAAAGAUGAUCCAAAAGACCUGAAGGGAACUCAAACUAAGGAACUAGACACUGUCAAUUGUUUCUCUGUACCAUCUUUGUCAUGGAGACCGGGUUGUAUUGAAAUCCUGGUCUUCAUCCAUGCUGGAUGGGACCAUAUGAAAAAUGCCACAAAGAACAAGAACCAUGCCAUAGAAGUACAUCACAACUGGGAUCUCUCAAAUGUUGGCUGGCUUCAUACUCUAGACACUAACUUCUCUGAAUGGUCAAAUGAAGCCAUGACAGAGGACAAGUUGUUGUUCAGAAGACAGUCUCCUAAAGAUAAGUAAUAAAUGACUCCCAGGCUCUUACCUUACUUGUUGGGCUAUUAGACAGCAGGCUACUUGGCUACAUUGUAUUUCACCUGAAGUUCUAGGUAUUAACCUUGACUGGUUUACAGGCAUCCUCUCCUGGAUUCCUCAAGGAUUGAAGUCCAUUAUGGAGAGGAUACUAAAAUUUAGGCUGUCUAUUUUGCUAAUCUGUAUUGUCAUCUAUGUAAUUAUAAAACGUGAACUUAAGUGUUGUUCCAAAGUCAUUGAAUGGAAUACUAAAAUAUUAGUCAUGAAAGCAUAUCUUGCUCUCCACACCUGGUACCCAAAAAUAUUUUAAAAUAAAGGUAAAACAGUUUCAUUCCUCUGAUCCUGAUCUUCACCCUUUCACAGCAGGAAGUAGCUAGAGCAGUCUUCACCCCCCAUUCCCUAAGAUUGAGGAAUGAUCAUAAGAGGUGGGGAUUGAAACUGAGCAUGAAGAAGUUAAAAAAUCUUCCCUAGAGCAAAAAACUUUGAGAUAAGCUUUGCUAACUGCGGCUGUGCAUAUUCAGCAUAAUCAACUGUUGUUUAGAACCAACCAGGUCUUUCUGUCCCUCCUUAGUAUAUGAGUGAGCUGUCUUUCCCAGGAAGUCAAGGUCCAGACAUCAAAAUUCAGCCUCACAAGGCCAAAUGCAGGCUGAAGAUGAAAACUAAUCAGAAAAGUCUGGACUCAAGGGAAAGGAAAUUCAGUCUUCAAGGCCAAACUCAGGCUGGAGGGAAGGCACCAACCAGCAUGGCCACAUGCUCCCUUCCACCCCGAAACCCCAGCACAGGCUCUCCCUCCCCUACCUGAAACCCCAGAUAAAAGCCCCUACCUUUUUCCCUUUGAGAAGCUGGAUCUGAGUUCUAACUCCCGUUUCCUUGUCUGGCUGCCUUUUCAUAGUAAACCUAGUAAACCUCUUUCCUUGCCACAAGCCUGGUGUUUCCAUUUUUUUUCUUUAUUGGCCCCAUUGUGUUUGGGCUCAGUAACAACACUAUUCAUAAUAACCACCACCUGAAAACUAAGCAAAUGCUCAACUGCAGGAGAAUGUUUAAAUAUAUUAUGGUAUGCUGAAAUAGAAUGAAACAAUAUGGAUUAAUCUCACAUACAUAAUGUUGAAUGAAAGAAGCUACACACAAAGGAGUAUAUACUAUAUGAUACCAUUUACAUGAUGCUGAAAACCAGGCAAAACUAAUGGAAUGCACUGUCAAGAUCCCCCUUCAGGAAGGAAGGUCUCAGAAUGUUCCUCAACUGAAGAGAGCUACCUGGUCCAAGAUUUUAUCCACAAUGCAGGGGCUGGGUAUAAAGGCCCUCACCCCAGUUUGGGAUAAGUGUGAAGGGCCAUCCCAGCUUCAUAGUUCCCUGUAGAGUUAGUUGAAGACUUUGUUGAGAUUGCAAUUCAGCCUAACUUCUACCUCUGCCCAAUCAUGCUUCUUUCCACCCCUUCCCUCCUCUUCUUUUCCCUCCCAGAAGUAUUGGUCCCAGCUGCACUGUAAUCUCAGAGUCUGCUUCCCUGGGAACCUAAUCUUCAAAGUCAGAGUAGAAGAUUAGCCUCAAGCUAACAUCUGCUACCAAUCCUCCUCUUUUUGCUGAGGAAGACUGGCCCUGAGCUAACAUCUGUGUCCAUCUUCCUCCAUUUUAUAUGUGGGACGCCUACCACAGCAUGGCUUGCCAAGCAGUGCUAUGUCUGCACCCGUGAUCUGAACUGGCGAACCCCAGGCCGCCGAAGCUGAACGUGCGAACUUAACUGCUGCACCACUGGGCUGGCCCCUAUAGUGUUUGUUUUUUAAAUGAUAUUUGAGAAAUACUGAAUUCUGUAUAUUAAUUUUGCAAAUUGCCAUAUUACAUAAGCCCAUUAUUAAUUCUAAUAAAUCUUCGGUUUGAUUCUCCUAAAUGUUCUAGGUAUACAAUCAAACAGUACAAAUAAUAUGACUUGUUUCUUCCU
rnacentral:lncRNA from 1 species